GAUGAAGAACGUAGCGAAAUGCGAUAAGUAAUGCGAAUUGCAGAAUUUCCGUGAGCCAUCGAAUCUUUGAACGCACAUUGCGCCCUUUGGUAUUCCGAAUGGCAUGCCUGUUCGAGCGUCAUUAUCACAGCUCAAACCCCGGGUUUGGUGUUGGACCAACGUUGGGUCAACCAGCUGGUCUCAAAGACAAUGACGGCGUCCGUGGGACCCUCAGUGCAUCGAGCUUUCAUAAGCACGCAUUGAGUUGCAAGGACCUUCCGGGCCGGUCUACUUUUACAUCUUCUGAAAGUUGACCUCGGAUCAGGUAGGAAUACCCGCUGAACUUAAGCAUAUCAAUAAGCGGAGGA
rnacentral:misc_RNA from 1 species